rnacentral:rRNA from 1 species
GGGGAAUUAGGGUUCGAUUCCGGAGAGGGAGCCUGAGAAACGGCUACCACAUCUAAGGAAGGCAGCAGGCGCGCAAAUUACCCAAUCCUAAUACAGGGAGGUAGUGACAAGAAAUAACAAUACAGGACUUUUUGGUUUUGUAAUUGGAAUGAGUUAAGUAUAAACCCCUUUACAAGUAUCAAUUGGAGGGCAAGUCUGGUGCCAGCAGCCGCGGUAAUUCCAGCUCCAAUAGCGUAUAUUAAAGUUGUUGCAGUUAAAAAGCUCGUAGUUGGAUUUCUGUUAAUAAUUUAUAUAUAAUAUUUGAUUAAUAUUUAUAUAAUAUUAACAUAAUUCAUAUUACUAAAUUUAUUAGUAUAUGAAAUUUUACUUUGAGAAAAUUAGACGUGCUUAAAGCAGGCAUAUGCCUUGAAUACUCCAGCAUGGAAUAAUAUUAAAGAUUUUUAUCUUUCUUAUUGGUUCUAAGAUAAAAAUAAUGAUUAAUAGGGACAGUUGGGGGCAUUUGUAUUUAACAGUCAGAGGUGAAAUUCUUAGAUUUGUUAAAGACAAACUAAUGCGAAAGCAUUUGCCAAGGAUGUUUUCAUUAAUCAAGAACGAAAGUUAGGGGAUCGAAGACGAUCAGAUACCG